UACGGGGGGGAGCAAGCGUUGUUCGGAUUUACUGGGCGUAAAGGGCGCGUAGGCGGUCGUGACAAGUCACUUGUGAAAUCUCCGGGCUUAACUCGGAACGGUCAAGUGAUACUGUCGGACUAGAGUACAGAAGGGGCAACUGGAAUUCUCGGUGUAGCGGUGAAAUGCGUAGAUAUCGGGAGGAACACCAGUGGCGAAAGG
rnacentral:rRNA from 1 species